UUGAACGCUGGCGGCAGGCCUAACACAUGCAAGUCGAACGGUAACAGGAAGCAGCUUGCUGCUUUGCUGACGAGUGGCGGACGGGUGAGUAAUGUCUGGGAAACUGCCUGAUGGAGGGGGAUAACUACUGGAAACGGUAGCUAAUACCGCAUAACGUCGCAAGACCAAAGAGGGGGACCUUAGGGCCUCUUGCCAUCGGAUGUGCCCAGAUGGGAUUAGCUAGUAGGUGGGGUAACGGCUCACCUAGGCGACGAUCCCUAGCUGGUCUGAGAGGAUGACCAGCCACACUGGAACUGAGACACGGUCCAGACUCCUACGGGAGGCAGCAGUGGGGAAUAUUGCACAAUGGGCGCAAGCCUGAUGCAGCCAUGCCGCGUGUAUGAAGAAGGCCUUCGGGUUGUAAAGUACUUUCAGCGGGGAGGAAGGGAGUAAAGUUAAUACCUUUGCUCAUUGACGUUACCCGCAGAAGAAGCACCGGCUAACUCCGUG
rnacentral:rRNA from 1 species